GGUUGGCGGCCCCGUUGAGCGUGAGGUGGAGGAGAACCAUUUGAAUAAGAGCUGUCUGACUUUGCCGUAGCCAAGAGCCCAUCUCGGCUAGCCCCAAUCCUAGAAAGCAUCAUGCAAGACCUACAGCGACGUCACUCCUAGGCUGUGUGUCUGUGAUCUUUGGCGAUGCUAUUUUCCGAGGCAGCUGCCUGGCAUUCGGAGUUGCCAUGGCAUCUCACUGGCCUGAGAACGGAGGAGGUGCCACUCCCCGUAGGUUUUACGAAGGUGUUACCUCGUAGCCCUUCCUCUCGGGGAGGUGCGGAGGGCUGCACACACUGGCUAUUUCCUCCCCCCUUCCCCACCCCUGGGGCUGGUGCCAGAGACAGCGGCGGGGGCGGUGUACAUUGCUGCCAAGGCUCACCUUUCCCCUUCACUGACCAGGGUCCCGCCUGAGCCGUGCCUCCCCUUGCCCCCCUUUGCAGCGGUGCCGUAGCGACAGGACCGAUCUUGUCCUUGUGGUAGGCUCAACCAGGUCCAUCUCUACCUCUUAUGGAUUGUUAUAUAUGCUACUGAAAGUUGGCUCUUUCUUUUUACCUUUUAAGACUAAUAUAUGUUCUUAUCUAGGUUCUGCUCACAUGCUAAUACCAUAAAAAGCUGGGCAUACUCUUUUAACUCUUCAAAAAAUCUGUCUCCGCAUAUUCGGGAUAUUAAACUUGAUAUCAGUUUUCA